AGGGAGCAUCAGAGAGAUUCUUCCGCCUGCCCCCAGCUGUGUCUGUCCCUCUCCCCCGCUGCCGGCGGGUCCCACUUCCCUUCACCAUCCUGCCUCGCUUCUCCGCGGCCGGCCUGACUUGGUGGCAUUUCCUGCCCCGAGAUUGACAGCAAGAUAAGGUCCACAGCAUGGACCAAAUCAGGGAAGGCAGGCUUGGGUUAGGAGAGGGGAGAAAAGGCAGGGCCUGAAGAUUUUCCUGAGUGGUUCUUCUCCGCAAGCAUUCCAAGCGACUCACUGCUUUUCAUAACGUCCUCAAGGUUCUCGGUCUCUUUGGUACCGUUAAUUUCAUGACCUGGCAAGUGUCGGAGGGACCAUCCUUCCGGCUUCUUUCAAACUGUGUUUCCUAGCUGCCUUCUCUUGGAAGAGGCUUCAGCGGUCUGCCUUGGAUCAAUCAGUGUCAUCUAUUUGCAAGGGCCUUUGCUCGACAAAGAGACGAGAGCCAACAGGUGUUUAUGAGACAAGAUGAGCCCUAAGCAACUGCCAGUCAUCAUUGGAAAACGUGCUUUUAACUUAGCUGGUGGGUUUGAAAAUCUGACUCCUUCUCUGGGGGUGGGGGGCCUGUUCGUAGCCCCUCCUCCCCCCGAAGACAUCUAACGGUACUUUCCAUAAGCGGGUAACACAUUUCCCUGUUUCUGCGUUCCCCUCCACUCCACGAUCCAGUGAAGUCAGAUUCUCCUUGUGAAGGUUUUAGGCCUCUCUUGGGGGUCCUCGUGGGCAAGAUUUAAAUAGUUCCAGAUCAGCUGUCUCUCCGAUGCCAUUCUCAGGCUCCCCAAACUCUGAGAGUGUGGGCUACCCCCAACACAGCAAACUCCUCCCAGCUGCCAGAUCUCUCCCCUGUGAGAACUUUUUGUCAUGAGCUGGACCCCAAGCCGUUGUGUUUCCCCCAAGUUCUGGGGACGCCUUUCAGACACUCUAGGUGAUCCUGUUGCAACCUUACAUUGGCUUGAGGUGAGCUCGAUAACUCCAGAAAAAUUCUAUCUAAAAUCCUUCUUCCCUUAGGAGGCACCUGUGAGGCUCAGUUGGUUGAGCAUCCAACUCUUGGUUUCGGCUCAGGUCAUGAUCUCGCAGUUCGUGAGUUCGAGCCCCGCAUCGGAGCCUCCCUUGGAUUCUGUUCCUCCGCCACUCGCAGUCUGCUUCUCUCUCUCUCUCAAAAAUAAAGAUUUAAGAAAAAAAAAAAAGAGUGCAGAUGUUCUACUGGGGAGUAGCACCUGUGCCAGUGAAAGGAGGAAACAGGAUUGGGCAGGGGAAACCAUCAGACUGUGAUGAGACCCCCUCCUCACCCCAGGAGAGAGGUCUGGAGACACGGAUGACCAGCUCCAGGAGUCUUGCAUUGCAUGGAGAUGGCAAGGCCUGUUGCCACCGCCUUGCGCAGUCGGUUGCCCCGGGGGGGCUGCCCAGGAAGCAAGUGCCCUCAGCUAUCACCUCUUUACUCCGUCAUUCACUGGGGGCAAUGACCGCCGUACCCUGAGAAAGGCAUGACCUUAGUUU